GCAGCAUGGCGCAGCCGGUAGCGCUUUUGCCUACCACACAAAAGGUCGCUGGUUCGAGUCCUGCUUGCGGUG
rnacentral:tRNA from 1 species